GGGAGUGUAGCUCAAUGGAUAGAGCAAGGAGCUUCUACCUCCGAGGUUGUGGGUUCAAGUCCUACCACUCCUG
rnacentral:tRNA from 3 species